CCCCAGUGUUUAAAUCCCUGUGUUUCCUGUCUCUCUGUCCCAGUUCAUCUUGUAUGUUUCCAAGUCAACCAGCGGUUUUCCCGUUCUGCUUUUUGCAUUUUCUAGUACUCCCGGAUCUGACCCUUGCCUGUUUCUGGACUUUGUACACGCCUGCCUGACCAUUCUGCCUGUCUGCCACUCUGUACCUCCUGGACUCUGAUCUGCUUUUGACCUUUUUGCCUGUCCACGACCAUUCUCUUGCCUACCGCUUUGGAUUAAUAAACAUUGUAAGACUCCAACCAUCUGCCUCCUGUGUCUGCAUUUGGGUCUCGCCUUGUACCUUGAUACAUGGAGGUUUUCAAGAGCCUCACAAAGAGGGGCACUUAUUGGUAGAUGGGUCUUGUUUUCCCCUCUUUUUUUAAGCAGACACUGAAUAUCCCUUUUAGCAUGAUAACUUGGGGGAGGCACAUCUGCAGGCUGCCAGUUGGAGAACCCUGCUCCUAGAGAUUUACACGAUUAUCAAAACGUCAAGCCAGGACCACUGCCUGUCUCUGAGCCUGCCUGCCUGCCUGCCUGCCGUCCUGUACCUUGCUCCACCUCUGGAUUACCGACCUCUGCCUGCCUGCCGUCCUGCACCUUGGCCUUUGCUCUGGAUUAUCGACCCCUGCCUGCCUUGACCUGGAGUUUGUUGUACAAAGUGCACAGACUGAUCCCCAAGUCAUGAAUGGUUGCCGGGACGUGCCUGAAGGAGAAAAGGACACUCUAUCAUGAUGCCUCUGAUAGUGAACCGAGUUGCUGCCCUGAUGACACCGACAGCGUCAUCAACACUGACAGGCCCUCUGGUCAACACCACCUCAUAAGAUUGUCUGCUGCAGUUGUUGAAGAGAUGUCCAGUUUGCAGCUGGACAUUCAGCAUAGAGAAGAACAGCAAGGGAGCCCUCAUCAGCAUCAUGCAGACAUGCUCUCAAUGUGAGCAUUCCAAUGAAUGGAACAGUCGUCACCCGUCAACGGCAAUAGCUUAUGAUAUCCCAAGUGUGUUUAUAUGUGAGCAACCAGUAUCUAGAGGACAGGAGCUGACCAACAAUGCAUCAAAGCGGCUCUGGCAAAGGCCUUACCUCUUGCCUGAUCACCAACGGUCUUUGAUGGGGAGACCAGAAUUAGGUUGGUUUAUUCUGACCUGUUCAAACUUCAACAUAGUAUAUGUUGGUUUGUCAGAUAUCACCUAUCCUAACUGCUAUUGGUAAUAGAACAGUGACUGUGUGUAUGCAUUCAAAAAUGAAUCUAUUAACCUCUUUGAAACUAGGGGGUACUAUUUUCAUUUUUGGAAAAAUAACGUUCCCAAAGUAAACGGGCUAUUUCUCAGGACCAGGUGCUAGAAUAUGCAUAUACAGUGGUGCAAAAAAGUAUUUAGUCAGCCACCAAUUGUGCAAUUUCUCCCACUUAAAUAGAUGAGAGAGGCCUGUAAUUUUCAUCAUAGGUACACUUCAACUAUGACAGACAAAAUGAGAAAAAAAAUCCAGAAAAUCACAUUGUAGGAUUUUUAAUGAAUUUAUUAGCAAAUUAUGGUUGAAAAUAAGUAUUUGGUCAAUAACAAAUGUUUAUCUCAAUACUUUGUUAUAUACCCUUUGUUGGCAAUGACAGAGGUCAAACAUUUUCUGUAAGUCUUCACAAGGUUUUCACACACUGUUGCUGGUAUUUUGGCCCAUUCCUCCAUGCAGAUCUCCUCUAGAGCAGUGAUGUUUUGGGGCUGUUGCUGGGCAACACGGACUUUCAACUCCCUCCAAAGAUUUUCUAUGGGGUUGAGAUCUGGAGACUGGCUAGGCCACUCGUUGACCUUGAAAUGCUUCUUACAAAGCCACUCCUUCGUUGCCCGGGCGGUGUGUUUGGGAUCAUUGUCAUGCUGAAAGGUGUGUGUGUAUAUAUAUAUAUACUGCUCAGAAAAAUAAAGGGAACACUAAAAUAAGACAUCCUAGAUCUGAAUGAAUGAAAUAUUCUUAUUAAAUACUUUUUUCUUUCCAUAGUUGAAUGAGCUGACAACAAAAUCACACAAAAAUGAUCAAUGGAAAUCAAAUGUAUCAACCCAUGGAGGUCUGGAUUUGGAGUCACACUCAAAAUUAAAGUGGAAAACCACACUACAGGCUGAUGUAAUGUCCUUAAAACAAGUCAAAAUGAGGCUCAGUAGUAUGUGUGGCAUCCACGUGUCUGUAUGACCUCCCUACAAAGCCUGGGCAUGCUCCUGAUGAGGUGGCGGAUGGUCUUCCAAAGAGUGUACUGUCUAAUAUUCUAAUAUUCAAAUAUUUUUUAAACAUGUUUUUUUUUGUGUGUGUUAGAAUUGCUUUUUGAUAUGUUGUAUACAGUUAUUUGCACUGUUGUAUAUCGUUAUAGGUCAUUUCACCAAUUUGGCCACUUGGGUACAUGUAGCUCACCCAUUCCUGAAGUUAUCAGUCUGAAACUUUGCACACCUACAUGUGCCCUCUUGUGUUAUCCAUCAAAAUUAUCUGCAGCAUCCUAUCUGACUGUGUGGCUAUUCUAGUACACGUGAAAGAUGAUGCUACAACAAUAGAAAAACAGAAAACGUAUGCUCUUUCUUUCUCUUUACUUCCACCAGAUCUACUGUGUUAUAUUCUCCGACAUUCAAUUAACAUUUCCACAAACUCAGAAUGUUUCCAUUCAAAUGAUACCAAUAAUAUGCAUAUCCUUGCCUCUGGGGCUGAGCUACAGCCAGUUAGAUUAGGGUAUGUCUUCAGGCAGAAAUUGAGAACAAGGGAUGCAGCCAUAAGAGGUUAUUAAGCCAGCUCUUGGAGACUUGCAAGAUGGUGUGAUGGAGCCUUGACCAACAGAAAGGCUGGGUCUUGACAUCUCUGAAGGGAGAGAGACAUGGCACUCAACACAUCCCUCAUAUGGGAUAGAAGAUGGAAAGGACUGUAUAUGCUUUGGUUAGAUGCCAGCCUUGAUCAUUUGAUGCCGAGACAAUAAUUGGAAAGAUGUAGGGUGCCAGCACAAGGAGACUUGCAAGAUGGUGUGAUGAAGUCCAGACUUAUAGACAGGCUUCAUACUGUCAUCUCUGAAUGGAGUGAGACCUGGCACUCUGCAUUACAAUUUUACAAGACAACAUUUACUUGUAUUUUUUUUUUGUUAUGGCAAGAACAGCUCAAAUGAGCAAAGAUAAAUUACAGUCCAUCAUUACUUUAAGAAAUAAAGGUCAGUCAAUCCGGAAAUUGUCAAGAACUUUCUUCAAGUGCAGUCGCAAAAACCAUCAAGCACUAUGAUGAAACUGGCUCUCAUGAGGACCACCACGGGAAAGGAAGACCCAGAGUUACCUCUGCUGCAGAGGAUAAGUUCAUUAGAGUUACCAGCCUCAAAAAUUGCAGCCCAAAUAAAUGUUUCACAGAGUUCAAGUAACAGACACAUCUCAACAUCAACUGUUCAGAGGAGACUGCAUGAAUCAGGCCUUCGUGGUCGAUUUGCUGCAACAACAAAAAACACUACUAAAGGGCACCAAUAAGAAGACUUACUUGGGCCAACAAACACAAGCAAUGGACAUUAGACCGGUGGAAAUCUGUCCUUUUGUCUGAUGAGUCCAAAUUUGAGAUCUUUGAUUCCAAUCGCUGUGUCUUUGUGAGACGCAGAGUUGGUGAACGGAUUAUCUCUGUAUGCAUGGAGGAGGAGGUGUAAUAGUGUGGGGGUACUUUUCUGGUGACACUGGCAGUGAUUUAUUUCGAAUUCAAGGCACACUUUACCUACAUGGCUACCACAGUAUUCUGCAGCAAUACGCCAUCCCAUCUGGUGUGUGAUUAUCAUUUGUUUUUCAACAGGACAAUGACCCAGCACACCUCCAGGCUGUGUAAGGGCUAUUUGACCAAGAACGGGAGUGAUGGAGUGCUGCAUCAGAUGAACUGUCCUCCCCAAUCACCUGAGUUGGACCGCAGAGUGAAGGAAAAGCAGCCAACAAGUCCUCAGCAUAUGUGGGAACUCCUUCAAGACUGUUGGAAAAGCAUUCCAGGUGAAGCUGGUUGAGAGAAUGCAAAGAGUGUGGAAAGGGUGGCUACUUUGAAGAAUCUCUAAUAUAAAAUAUAUUUGGAUUUGUUUAAUGUUUUUUGGUUUCUACAUGAUUCCAUAUGUGUUAUUCCAUAGUUUUGAUGUCUUUGCUAUUAUUCUACAAUGUAGAAAAUAAUAAAAAAUCAAUAAAAUCCUUGAAUAAG